rnacentral:SRP_RNA from 1 species
GGGUGGGUCCGGCGCGGCAGAAACCCGCAAACCCCGCCAGGUCCGAGAGGAAGCAGCGGUAAGUGGGCCAUUCUGGGUGCCGCCGGGUUGCCUGCCCGGA